GGGCAAGUCUUUUACGACCAGCUCCCUUUGAACUCCCCAGGAUGGGAACAUAGCAAGGGUAGAAGGUUGUAGCGGUGCGAUAGAAGGUGCUUGCCCUUU
rnacentral:SRP_RNA from 1 species